rnacentral:rRNA from 1 species
CGGAGUUAGCCGGAGCUUAUUCUCUAGGUACUGUCAUUAUCAUCCCUAGUAAAAGAAGCUUUACAACCCUAAGGCCUUCAUCACUCACGCGGCAUUGCUGGAUCAGGCUUUCGCCCAUUGUCCAAUAUUCCCC